rnacentral:rRNA from 1 species
CCUACGGGAGGCAGCAGUAGGGAAUAUUGCACAAUGGGGGAAACCCUGAUGCAGCAACGCCGCGUGGGUGAUGAAGGUUUUCGGAUUGUAAAGCCCUGUUGUGAGAGAAGAUAAUGACGGUAUCUGACGAGUAAGCACCGGCUAACUACGUGCCAGCAGCCGCGGUAAUACGGAGGGUGCAAGCGUUACCCGGAUUCACUGGGCGUAAAGGGUGCGCAGGCGGGUUUGUAAGUGAGAUGUGAAAUGCUGUGGCUUAACUCCAGGACUGCAUUUGAAACUGUGAGUCUAGAGUGCAGGAGAGGUGAGUGGAAUUCCUGGUGUAGCGGUGAAAUGCGUAGAUAUCAGGAGGAACACUCGUGGCGAAGGCGACCCUCUGGAAUGUAACUGACGCUGAGGCUCGAAAGCGUGGGGAGCAAACAGGAUUAGAUACCCGAGUAGUC